CCCGCGUCGUGUCGCGAGGUUAAUAUUAUUAUUAAUGUGAUCUCUCAUCAUUAUUAUAAAUAUAAAAUCUUUAAUUCUGAAUUUCGGUCGCGUCACGCAAGGAUCGAAGUGCCACGCGAAAUAUCAGCGGAUCGGAGAUAGCUAGAUCAAAUAUUUAUCAGGUUAUCGUGGUUAUGUGAAGAAGUUCUCAACAUGUGAUUAAUGAAAAAGAAGUAAAGAAGAAGAAAUCGGAGAGGGUGUCGUGUUAUACUACAUAAUCACCAAGAAAUGGAAAGAUCACAUAUAGAUUAUUUUGUUUGUGGGUGUGCUAUUUUAAAUACUCCAGGGAAAUCUAAAAAAAUA